rnacentral:sRNA from 1 species
GUACUUCUUCUGUACCUUAUAUUGCUUAGUUAAAUGUUUCCAAAGGCUUCAUGCUCUUUUCAUAAUGUUGCUUUUUCUAGAUAUAAAGACCUGAAGAUAGUCUUUUCUGUCCAAAGAUGGAAAACAGUACUACUACCAUUUCUCGGGAGGAGCUUGAAGAACUACAAGAGGCAUUUAAUAAAAUAGAUAUUGACAAUAGUGGGUAUGUCAGUGACUAUGAACUUCAAGACCUGUUUAAGGAAGCAAGCCUUCCUCUGCCUGGCUACAAGGUGCGCGAGAUUGUGGAGAAAAUUCUAUCAGUUGCUGACAGCAACAAAGAUGGCAAAAUCAGUUUUGAAGAGUUUGUGUCACUAAUGCAAGAAUUAAAAAGCAAAGAUAUCAGCAAAACAUUCCGAAAAAUAAU